rnacentral:rRNA from 1 species
CGGGAUAGGAAAAUAGAGGAGAGAGAGAGGAAUAGGGAAGUGUGCGUGCGGAUGGGUAGCUUCGGUGGCGUAUGGUGCGGCGUUAAGCGGACUCCGGGAGUACGGCGGCGGCGAGCGGGGAAAGAGACAUACAGCGGUUGCGUUGGGACACGGGGUCCCAGCAAGGGAGGAAGGGUGUUCCGAGCUCCUUCGGGUUCCUCCGCCGGUACUCCUCGCGCGUCGGUGGCCUCAGCACCCGUCUAGAUCGGCCCCGGCAGCUGUCGGUAGGGAGGGAGGCCCGCCGGUACUUCUUAAAUUCGCCGAACUCGUCUUGAUCGUGUACCUGGUACGCGCGGAGGGCGCGAUCCUCGGUGGCCAGGAGCAAUAGACGAUCGUAGGUGCUCCUUAGGUAGGUAUAUUACAAUGCUGUAAAUUUUUACAGUUUCCUACACUACUACGUUGCUUUCUUGAACUCAUCACAAGAUGAGCGGAACCACCUUUCCGUGGUUUCCAUAAAACAAGAUACGGUCAGACGUUGUACGUAAAAGUUAGACGAUACCUGGAAAGAAAUAUCUUAUAAGAUCUAUGUAUAAACAUCGAAUUCUAUAAAAACCAAGUUACAACUAAGUUAUCGAGGCUUGGUAAUUAUAAAAAAAAGAAGACUCUUACGAAAAUUGACCUCGAGUUUCUUAACCCUUCUUGGAUAAGCGAUCGAAGUACAAUAAGACUUGGCUCAUUUUCUUGUGUGGGUAGAUACUCCAUGAACUACACAAAACAUGAAACAAAAGUGUGUGUGUGUUACCUACAAUUGAUACAUACACCCUUAUCUUUCUAGGUCUUAAGAACAUAAACGUGAAAAGGCGAAGGUACAAAAGAUCGUUUUACGAAGUAAUAUAAGUGACUUUUGAACACUACUAAUAAACCAAACGUUUAAACACAGGAGAAAUUAAGCAUCGUCCCUCGUAACGGGAAUGAAACGUACUAUUUUGUGAACCUUCCCGAAACUUCUUAGAAAAAAACUCGUCACUCUUGUUGGAACUAGUAUUUUAUUUGGAGGAAAAACAAAAAUCUGUAUUUUCUUGGCAACGGUUACGGAUAGGAAGAUGAUGGACGUCAACCUGGUUUAGAUUCUCUUCUACCGGUCUUGUUGAAUAAAAAUCGCACCAACACCCUACGUGUUUGGACCUUGUUACCCUAAAUACAAACAAUAUAGUAACCCUUGUUAUCGUGAGCUACAGUUCAUUAGAUACAAGCUAUGUACUAUAUAAACAUUACUUUUGACGUUGUACACGCUAAACGCCUUACAUUACUUCAAAUUUUCAAGACAAUGAUGGUGUUGGCUUAUAUGUAUCAUACAUCUAAAAGUCGUGUGCUCGAGUGUACGAAAAAAGAAUCUUUUAAGUUUCUUACCUCACAUCUAUUAAGUCUCUCUUUUAAACAGUAUAUCUAAUAGAACUCAGCUUCAAACGUACUUAAAGACAACAACGAAAAAAAGAUAUGUUGGGUUUUCUGCAUUUCUAAAAGUGCUUUGAACUUUGGAACUGUAUUAUUACUUAGGUUGUAGGGAUCUCAGCAUACUCUAAUCCGUUUCUCUUAUCUGUAUCUUAAAAAGAAUAGUAAACUUAUAACAGUUUACUGAUUACUACUCUUUAUAUAAGUAGAUCUAAAACUCGUGUUCGAAGAGUUGAUACAAGACAUAAUUAUGUUAAAGCAUUAUUUAAAUCCAAGAAUAAAAAACAAAAAAUUUAACAAACAAUUGUUCUUAUUUUCUUUUUUAAGAAGUUUUCCGAAAUGUACGUAACGUGCACCUUCGAUUGAUCAAACAAUAUUACGUAUUUUAGAACCGUACCCAAUUUAACGAUUUGGAAGUUCUGACAAGCAACCUCACUCCUGCACGAGCCUGUAACUGGGAUGGUAGGUAGUUGAGUAACAACGACUAUAGUAUCACGUAUGUUGGAAAAAGUGUACACAAUAGAAUAAAGUGGUACCUAUUACGUGACGAAUGCAUAUAAGUAAACAAUAUACGAAAUGUACUGUUUACCUAUAUACGACUACCGGUGUGCAUAUCUCCGACCGCUAGUUGAGACUUUUAAGUAUCAUAUGUGGUCUUUCCGACCGCUAGUUGAGAUUCAAAGUGAAUGUUCCGUAUGUUUUGUCUACGUCGAUCUAACCGAUAGACGACCUUCUAAAUGUUGGUCUUCUCACCCUUACCUACUAACUCAUGAAACCGUGACCAAGUUUUAAAGUCCUGGUGUCGGUUUUCUUGUGGCUAUCAGCAUUCUUUGUCUUCUGUUUUGUGUUUUAACCUAGUUUUUGAAUGAGCGUUGAUUCAAAACUCUUCUCUUUGAACCUUUGACCUCUUCUCGGUCUAACAUAACAAGACACCCUUGAGUGGGUGUGUUUCUUACCUUGUACCAGAUUGUGUCUCAGGGUCCUACAAAUGCUAGGUUUCUUGAUCGAGCUAACCUGAGAUCUAGUGCCUGUUAAAUCAGAACCUUGAAUUAAUCCUACCGAUUUAAUGUAAACUCAAAGUAAACUACCUAUAAAUGAUACUCUUAAUACUUAAAAUACUUAGAUGUAUAAUAUGCACACCAAAAUUUAUAACAUUAACUUACGGAUAUAAAAAAAAUCCAACGUUAUCCGAUAACGGUGUUGGGUGAAAACCAACGGUGUACAAUCAUGGUGCUUUUAAAUUUAACAGCGUUAUCAAAGAGCGAUGUUUGUAAAGUGAACAACACUAUGGAUAAAUAGUGGC